rnacentral:rRNA from 1 species
UACGGAGGGUGCGAGCGUUGUUCGGAAUUACUGGGCGUAAAGGGCGCGUAGGUGGUUGUGUAAGUCAGAUGUGAAAUCUCCCGGCUCAACUGGGAAACUGCAUCUGAUACUGCAUGACUAGAGUGCAGCAGAGGGAAACGGAAUUCCUGGUGUAGAGGUGAAAUUCGUAGAUAUCAGGAGGAACACCGGUGGCGAAGGCGGUUUCCUGGGCUGACACUGACACUGAGGCGCGAAAGCGUGGGUAG